AUUGAACGCUGGCGGCAGGCCUAACACAUGCAAGUCGAGCGAGCGGCGGACGGGUGAGUAAUGUCUGGGAAACUGCCUGAUGGAGGGGGAUAACUACUGGAAACGGUGUCUAAUACCCCAUACCAUCAGAUAUGCCCCGAUGUGAUUAGCUAGUAUGUGGGGUAACGGCGCACCUAGGCGACGAUCCCUAGCUGGUCUGAGAGGAUGACCAGCCACACUGGAACUGAGACACGGGCCAGACUCCUACGGGAGGCAGCAGUGGGGAAUAUUGCACAAUGGGCGCAAGCCUGAUGCAGCCAUGCCGCGUGUGUGAAGAAGGCCUUCGGGUUGUAAAGCACUUUCAGCGGGGAGGCGUUACCCGCAGAAGAAGCACCGGCUAACUCCGUGCCAGCAGCCGCGGUAAUUC
rnacentral:rRNA from 1 species